rnacentral:rRNA from 1 species
AUACGGAGGAUCCGGGCGUUAUCCGGAUUUAUUGGGUUUAAAGGGAGCGUAGGUGGACAGUUAAGUCAGUUGUGAAAGUUUGCGGCUCAACCGUAAAAUUGCAGUUGAUACUGGCUGUCUUGAGUACAGUAGAGGUGGGAGGAAUUCGUGGGGUAGCGGUGCAAUGCUUAGAUAUCACGAAGAACUCCGAUUGCGAAGGCAGCUCACUGGACUGCAACUGACACUGAUGCUCGAAAGUGUGUGUAUCAAACAGGAUUAGAUACCCUGGUAGUCCACACAGUAAACGAUGAAUACUCGCUGUUUGCGAUAUACAGUAAGCGGCCAAGCGAAAGCAUUAAGUAUUCCACCUGGGGAGUACGCCGGCAACGGUGAAACUCAAAUGAAUUGACGGGG